rnacentral:rRNA from 1 species
AACCUCCGCAAUGUGAGAAAUCGCGACGGGGGGAUCCCAAGUGCCAUUCUUAACGGGAUGGCUUUUCAUUAGUGUAAAGAGCUUUUGGGAUAAGGGCUGGGCAAGACCGGUGCCAGCCGCCGCGGUAACACCGGCAGCUCUAGUGGUAGCAGUUUUUAUUGGGCCUAAAGCGUCCGUAGCCGGUUUAAUAAGUCUCUGGUGAAAUCCUGUAGCUUAACUGUGGGAAUUGCUGGAGAUACUAUUAGACUUGAGACCGGGAGAGGUUAGAGGUACUCCCAGGGUAGAGGUGAAAUUCUGUAAUCCUGGGAGGACCGCCUGUUGCGAAGGCGUCUAACUGGAACGGUUCUGACGGUGAGGGACGAAAGUUAGGGGCGCGAACCGGAUUAGAUACCCGGGUAGUCCUAACUGUAAACGAUGCGGACUUGGUGUUGGGGUGGCUUUGAGCUGCUCCAGUGCCGAAGGGAAGCUGUUAAGUCCGCCGCCUGGGAAGUACGGUCGCAAGACUGAAACUUAAAGGAAUU